rnacentral:rRNA from 1 species
AGUGGCGGACGGGUGAGUAACGCGUGAGAAUCUGCCUUGGGGUCGGGGACAACCACUGGAAACGGUGGCUAAUACCGGAUAAGCCGAUUGGUGAAAGAUUUAUUGCCCGAAGAGGAGCUCGCGUCUGAUUAGCUAGUUGGUGAGGUAAGAGCUCAUCAAGGCAGCGAUCAGUAGCUGGUCUGAGAGGACGAUCAGCCACACUGGGACUGAGACACGGCCCAGACUCCUACGGGAGGCAGCAGUGGGGAAUUUUCCGCAAUGGGCGAAAGCCUGACGGAGCAAGACCGCGUGAGGGAGGAAGGCUCUUGGGUUGUAAACCUCUUUUCUCAGGGAAGAAGCUCUGACGGUACCUGAGGAAUCAGCCUCGGCUAACUCCGUGCCAGCAGCCGCGGUAAUACGGAGGAGGCAAGCGUUAUCCGGAAUUAUUGGGCGUAAAGCGUCCGCAGGUGGCGAUUCAAGUCUGCUGUCAAAGCACGGGGCUUAACUCCGUAAAGGCAGUGGAAACUGAAUAGCUAGAGUGCCGUAGGGGUAGAGGGAAUUCCCGGUGUAGCGGUGAAAUGCGUAGAGAUCGGGAAGAACAUCGGUGGCUAAAGCGCUCUACUGGACGGCAACUGACACUCAGGGACGAAAGCUAGGGGAGCGAAUGGGAUUAGAUACCCC